rnacentral:rRNA from 1 species
AGCUGGUCUGAGGGAUAUUCAGCCACCUGACUGAGAUACGUACAGCCUUCGGAGGCUGCAGUCGAAUCUGGCCAUGCACGAAGUUGACAGGACACCGCGGAAGAUGACGCCUCCAGUCGUACCUUCUUGAUAGGGAGAACCCAUGACGUACGCUAUGAUAGCCACGGCUAACUACGUGCAGCAGCCGCCGUAAUCCGUAGGUGGCAAGCGUUGUCCGAUUUACUGGCCGUAAAGGGCAGCAGGCGGAUCGUAAGUAGAAAGUGAAAGGUCGGGGCUCAACCCACAUGCUUUCUAUACUGGCGGUCUUGAGUCCCGGAGGGGAGAGCGGAACGACACGUGUAGCGGUGAAAUGCGUUGAUAUGUGUCGGAACACCAAUGGCGAAGGCAGCUCUCUGGACGGGUACUGACGCUCAUUUGCGAAAGCCGAGGUAGCGAACAGGAUUAGAUAUCCUGGUAGUCUCGGCCCUAAACGAUGAUCACUAGAUGUCGGGGGGUUUCCCUCGGUGUCGCAGCUAACGCAUUAAGUGAUCCGCCUGGGGACUACGGCCGCAAGGUUGAAACUCAAAGGAAUUGGCGGGGGCCCGCACAAGCGGUGGAGCAUAUGGCUUAAUUCGAUGCAACGCGAAGAACCUUACCCAGGCUUGACAUGUACCUGCAAGCUCCCCAAAAGGAGCCGCUUUCGAAGGUGGUACACAGGUGGUGCAUGGCUGUCGUCAGCUCGUGUUGUGAAAUGUUGGGUUAAGUCCCGCAACGAGCGCAACCCUCAUGUUAUGUUGCCAGCGAGUAAUGUCGGGAACUCGUAACAAACUGCCUAUGUAAAUAGGAGGAAGGUGGGGAUGACGUCAAGUCAUCAUGCCCCUUACGCCUGGGGCUGCACAUAUGCUACAAUGGAUGCUACAAACAGUUGCGAUCCCGCGAGGGUUAGCUAAUCUGAAAAAAGCAUUCUCAGUUCGGAUUGGAGUCUGCAACUCGACUCCAUGAAGCCGGAAUCGCUAGUAACCGCAGGUCAGCAUUACUGCGGUGAAUACGUUCCCGGGCCUUGCACACACCGCCCGUCACGUGACGAAAGUUGCGUUUUGUCCCGCAGAGUCGUUGAGCUACCGCAAGAAGCAGACCCGAAUGUAACUACUGAAAGUUCAGUCAA